ACCAUAAAAAAUUCUGAUGGUCCUGCUGAUUAAUCUCACACACGCCCAAUUUCAUUUGAACCCUAGCAGUAGCAGCAGUGAAGUACAACAACGCAGUCGUACUCGCACACUCUGCUCUCUGUGCCUCUGCCUUUCUCACUGUCUUCCGGUGGCGGUCUCUCCCUGGUCACAGUCUCUCACUGGUUGCCUGUCGCUGGGCACUGCUGUCCGCCACUGGUCUGGUCGCUGUUCUCCCUUCACCUCUGUCCGAAGCUCUCCACGGCCACGCCUCUGCUGUGCUUUCAGCCUCAGGCACUAGUUUCUGACAACCUUGCUCAGUUGCUCGUGAGGUGCUUCUUCAUCUUCGAUUCUUCCAGUGGACUCCUAAUCAAAAUACCAAUUGUGAAAUUUUGAUUUAUUUUUUCUUUUUCCGCAUAGUGAAGGGAGCAAUGGCAGGGAGAAGCAAAGAGAAAGAAGGCGGAAGAAGAGGGAGGGCAUGUGUGGUGGUUUUAGGUGACAUUGGACGCAGCCCAAGAAUGCAAUACCAUGCUCUUUCACUUGCUAAUCAAGCUUCGUUGGAGGUGGACAUUGUUGCAUACGGAGGUUCAGAGCCGCAUGGUGCACUUCUUGUUAAUCCAUCUAUCCAUCUUUACAUAAUGAAGCAGUGGCCAACGGCCCGCCAAAGUUUACCAAGGAUACUUAUACUUUUGUUGAAGCCAUUAGUUCAAUUUUUCACGCUUCUUUGGUUCCUUUGUAUAAAAGUACCUUCUCCUGAUAUUUUUAUUGUCCAGAAUCCUCCUUCGGUUCCGACACUAGUGGCAGUAAAAUGGGCUAGUUGGUUGAGGAAUUCAUCAUUUGUCGUAGAUUGGCAUAAUUUUGGAUACACACUACUUGGUCUGUCCCUUGGAAGAAAUAGUCACUUUGUAUCUUUAUAUAAAUGGUUUGAAAAGCAUUAUGGGAAAAUGGCAGAUGCUUCUCUGUGUGUAACAAGAGCAAUGCAGCAUGAAUUGGCUCAAAAUUGGGGAAUUAAUGCUACAGUAUUGUAUGAUCAGCCACCUGACUUCUUUCAUCCCACUUCAUUAGAGGAGAGGCAUAAGUUGUUUUGUAGAUUAAAUAAGGAACUCUGUCAGCCUCUUGGUUUUAGAGAUUGUGUUAGCAAUGGAACUUCUUUGAUUGGAAGCCAUGGCCAAAAUGAGACCUUAUUUACAAAUGAGGUUGGUCCAGACAUAUAUUUGAAGCGUAACCGUCCAGCACUUGUUGUAAGCAGCACGAGCUGGACUCCUGAUGAAGAUUUUGGAAUUCUUUUGGAAGCUGCUGUGAUGUAUGACAGACGUGUUGCUGCUAUAUUAGGUGAAGACGAUUCGCUAGAUGAGGAUGUCGUCUGGAAAGAAAUAUCUGAUGGAAAACAAUGUUUAUAUCCCAGAUUGUUAUUUAUCAUUACUGGUAAAGGUCCUGAAAAAGAAAAGUACGAAGCAAAAAUAAAGAGAUUAAAACUUAAACGUGUGGCAUUUCGUACCAUGUGGCUGUCUGCUGAAGAUUACCCAUUAUUGCUAGGGUCGGCUGACCUUGGAGUUUGUCUGCAUACUUCAUCAUCAGGAUUAGACCUUCCCAUGAAGGUUGUCGAUAUGUUUGGCUGCGGACUGCCUGUUUGUGCUGUUUCGUACUCUUGUAUUAAAGAAUUGGUUAGAGUUGACAAAAAUGGUAUUCUCUUCUCUUCAUCUUCAGAGCUGGCUGAUGAACUUGUGAUGCUUUUCAAGGGAUUUCCUGAUGAAUGUGAUGCUCUGAAGAUUCUCAAAAAUGGUGCACUAGAAACCAGUUCUUCGACAAGGUGGGCUACAGAAUGGGAAGAACAUGCAAAGCCACUAAUAAACAAGGUUGUAUCAAGAUUUUGAUUUUCUUUUGAUUCUCGGAAGAUGUCUAUAUAACAGCUCUAACGACAAAUGAGAUUGAUCUCUUGGCUGGAUCCAGUGGAAGGUCAGCUGGCACCGUAUGCUGAUUGUGUCCGGCAUGAUGAUGUUUGGCAACGGUUCCAUUUUUGUUUGACUAUUGCCCGAAACUGUGGUCAAGAUUGUAGCAAAAGUGAGAGUAUAAUUCUAAAUCACCAGAGAUUUGAUUAUGUUUUUAUUUUUUUUUUCUUUGGUGAGCUGAGGCCUAUUUUAACAAAUGGGUUAUGCACUUUUUGAUAUAUGGCCUUUUCAAGAUUUAUAUGAAUCUUGGAUUGGAUGGGAAAGAUAUUUUUUAAUUCUUAAAUUCAUGAUUACUCUAUCA